UACGGGGGGGGUAAGCGUUGUUCGGAAUUACUGGGCGUAAAGGGCUCGUAGGCGGCCAACUAAGUCAGACGUGAAAUCCCUCAGCUUAACUGGGGAACUGCGUCUGAUACUGGAUGGCUUGAGUUUGGGAGAGGGAUGCGGAAUUCCAGGUGUAGCGGUGAAAUGCGUAGAUAUCUGGAGGAACACCGGUGGCGAAGGCGGCAUCCUGGACCAACACUGACACUGAUGAGCGAAAGCCAGGGGAGCAAACGGG
rnacentral:rRNA from 1 species